UUUAUUUAUUAAUGUAGCUAUUUUCUAAAUAGUCGAGUUUAAUAUGUAGCAGAUAUACGUAUAUAGGGUGGCCCAAAAUUGAAUUAACCGUGUCAUAUCAAACGAGUGAAAGUGCGCGUGUGCUUAACAGAUUAAAAUGUCAUUCUGAUUAAACAUUAUAUGUAAAGUGUUUAUAUAAGACGGCAGUUUAACUGUGUAGUAAUGAAACGACAAAUAACCUGUAUAAACCGAAUAACAACUGAACUGAUGGACUUUUAUGGGAAACUACCCCUAUUUAGGUGCUAGAUAUAUAAUAUAAACGAUGAAAACUCCACCUGUCUAUUUUGUUAGUGAGGUUCGAACCCGCGACGAAGGUGCUUCUGUUAAACUACAAUAAUUACGUGGAAAUGGCUGAAUAAUUUUACUGUACAUAAAGUAAAGCACGGAACUCAGUAAGGUGGAACGAAUUCAAGUUAAUUUAAUAGUUCAGUCCUACAGUCAGUGUGAAUUUGCUGAAGAAUUUAACAUGCUUCAUAGAGACCACGAUGUGUAAGUUUGAUUUCAGAAUAAAAACGUUUUCAGGUACCUUUCACUGGUUGCGGAUUCUCACCAGAACCGUCUAAUCGUUCGUAAUUGUAAAUGUUCGAAGCAGAGUGCCACGCCAUGGACAUGAUGCCAGGUUAGCACGUUUCAGUUGAGGCCAUACCGUUCUUUUGUCUUUU